rnacentral:lncRNA from 1 species
GUUGAAGCCAGAAAUGGGGGAAAAAGCAUGUCUGGAGGCGACCCUCUCAGUUUGCAAAGCCAGACUUCUUUUGCUUGAGCCAGAGCCGCUUCUGCCACCCUGGGCGUCAGUUUUUUUUUCUUGCUUUUGCAGGCGCGACUAUCAAGGCGAAAUUGCAAUUUUAUUUUAUUUUUUGGCGGGGUGCAAAGCUGCAAUGAACUCGGCCAGAACUCGCUACGUAAUUCAUAUUCUUCCAGUACUUCGGGGCCAAAUAGAGGUAGCCAAGAGGAUGGGCCGGGUGUUGUGUAUGCCCACUUUCCCGGUGGCUUCCCCAGUGCAACCUGCCGACUGCAACCUUCCUCCCGCGGAGCUUCGCCCAACCUUCCACCGCAAGCGAGGCCUUGUCCCCCUACAGAGGAACGCUUCUCUCCAGCCGGGUCUCCCCCAGCAGGAAAAUGGGACCUCUCUCUCUUGGAGGCUCUGGGCGGUGCCCCCAAGCCCUCUUCGUAACGCCUGGAUUCUCCGCCGUCGGACAUCUCACUGAAGAAGGAAGUUUCCACCCAUCAAAAGGCCGCAUGGAAAUCUGCUAAAAUAUUCGUAUUGGGGGGAGGAAAUAAAGACUCGGCGGGAUGGGUUUUUUAUUUAUUUAUUUAUUAGGGAGGCUCCAAAGAACCUUGGAAGGAAGACACACUUGGAGAAGGAGAAACGGCUCUGCAAACCAGCCAUGGAGGGGCAAGCAACCCCCCUCCCUCUUCCUUAUUUGCAGAGGGGGGAACCCAUCCCUGGCUGGGACCUGUACAGCGCUCCUUUCUUGUGGGGGUAGGUCUAUGCAUCGCUAGCAGCUUUUGAGACUGACAAAGUGAUCCAGUAUCCAAACUCCAUGUCCUUUUUAAAUUUUUAUUGUUAUUAUUAUUAUUUGGAUGGUAGAGCACAGGCUGCUCUGUGUGGGGCUAUCUUAAUUCCUUUUGUUUUCCUCUCCUUUGACUUUCUGUGUCUCUCUCUUUGAUGGGCAUCAUUGGUUGGUUUGCUCGCUCGUUUGUUUCCAUCCUGGCCUUUCUGGGCAUUUGGUUGACUUGGGACUCCCGUCCUUCCGAGGUCGGUAAAACGAGAACCCGGAUUGUUUGGGGGGUGCAAUGCGUUCCUGACUCUGCAAACCGCUUAGAGAGGGCUGUAAAAGCCCUGUGAAGCAGCAUAGAAGUCUUUUUAAGUGCUAUUGCAGCUUAGAAGCUGCAGGGAGGCCCAUCAGCCACGGGUUUGGCUGCCUGGGAAUUGUUGGGAAGGAGGCAGAAAGGAAGCAGGAAGGAUAUUGUGCUUGGGGAAUGGGGUAACCCAUUGCUUCCCUUCUGGAAGUCUCUGUGUGUGUCUGUGUGUGUGUGGGGGGGUCCUUGGUGCUCUCUGAGCUUGGUUUUCUUGCAGACUUCUCUUUACUCAAUUAGGUAACAUCAUCAGUGCAGUGAGGAUGGGAUGAUCAGGGCACUGAUGAUGUUGCCAAGCUGGGUGAUGAAACGCUGCGAGAAAACCCAAGUUUGGACAGCACCAAAGGCCACACAGUUCAACCCUGAGCUAUAGUCUCCUCUCUGUGUGUCUGUGUGUGCAUACAGUACACAGGUAUGCUCCAUUUUAAUUGGCUUUUGUGCCCAAAGGAUGCCGUUGUUUCUUUAUUUUAAGGCAGGGCAGCCUGGGUGAGGAUACAGAAUUGCACAUUUUCCCUGGUAUCCACAUCCAAGGAACCAACACGGAGCCUUUGCCUGCUUUCAACCAACGUGCCUCUGUGUGUGUGUGUGUGUGUGUGUUUGCCCAGUUUGGGGUGGGGGAAAGAAUGCAGGGGCCAAAUUCACUCUGUUUGUAAAACAGGUAGGGUGUCAGGGUGCCCUCCUCCUUACAAUUCCUUUUUUGGGUGGGGAGACAUUAAAGUAUUGGUGGGUAAACAUAGCCCAGCUUAUUCAGCCAGCAAAGGGGUAAGUAUGAAAUAAUGUGGCUACCAGUCGUGGGAACCACCAGAUGGCAACGAGGACAUCAAGAACAGGUAAGAACAGGUAAGUGGAGGGCACAGGUGCUGGGAAGAUGGGGGGGCAGGCAGGCCUUAGAGAGCCAGAGUGGGUUGGCAAGAGCCCCCCAACAGCUGGCCUGCCUGCAGCCCCAAUCUUCC